AGAUCAUUUCUCCUAACCUUAACCUCAGUCUCCUAAACUGCUAUGAAAAAGUCACUUCGGUAUAUUUCAUAUGAAACAAAUGGGGUAGAAAGUGCAGCACAAUGCACACAACACUAAGUGCUUUACCAAGCUUAGCUAUCUCGCAAGAUGACCAAAUCUAAUUCACUUCAAAUCCAAUUCAUUUAUUAUAGCCCUUUGUACAUCAGCUGAUAUCUCAAAGUGCUGUACAGAAACCCAGCCUAAAACCCCAAACAGCAAGCAAUGCAGGUGUUGAAGCACGUUGGCUCGGAAAAACUCCCUAGAAAGGCCAAAACCUAGGAACAAACCUAUAGGAACCAGGCUAUGAGGGGUGGCCAUUCCUCUUCUGGCUGGGCCGGGUGGUGACUAUAACAGAACAUGGCCAAGAUGUUCAAAUGUUCAUAAAUGACCAGCAUGGUCAAAUAGUAGGUCUGGGACAGGUAGCACGUCCGGUGAACAGAUCAGGAUUCCAUAGCCGCAGGCAGAACAGUUGAAACUGGAGCAGCAGAACAGCCGGUGGACUGGGGACAGCAAGGAGUCAUCAUGCCAGGUAGUCCUGAGGCAUGGUCUUACGGCUCAGGUCCUCCGAAAGAGAGAAUUAGAGAGCACACUUAAAUUCACACAGGAUAAGACGGGAGAAGUACUCCAGAUAUAACAAACUGACCCUAGCCCCCGACACAAACUACUGCAGCAUAAAUACUGGAGGCUGAGACAUGAGGGGUCAGGAGACACAGUGGCCCCAUCCUAUGAUACCCCCGGACGGGGCCAAACAGGAAGGAUAUAACCCCACCCACUUUGCCAAAGCACAGCCCCCACACCACUAGAGGGAUAUCUUCAACCACAGACAGGAAGAUCACAUCAGUGACUCAACUCACUCAAGUGGCGCACCCCUCCUAGGGACGGCAUGAAAGAGCACCAGUAAGCCAGUGACUCAGCCCCUGUAAUAGGGUUAGGGGCAGAGAAUCCCAGUGGAAAGAGGGGAACCGGCCAGGCAGAGACAGCAAGGGCAGUACAUUGCUCCAGAGCAUUUCUGUUCACCACACUCCUGGGCCAGACUACACUCAAUCAUAUGACCCACUGAAGAGAUGAGUCUUCAGUAAAGACUUAAAGGUUGAGACCGAGUAUCCGUCUCUUACAUGGGUAGGCAGACCAUUCCAUAAAAAUGGAGCUCUAUAGGAGAAGCCCUGUCUCCAGCUGUUUGCUUAGAAAUUCUAGGGACAAUUUGGAGGCCUGCGUCGUGUGACCGUAGCGUACGUGCAGCUAUGUACGGCAGGACCAAAUCAGAGAGAUAGGUAGGAGCAAGCCCAUGUAAUGCUUUGUAUGUUGGAAAUCAGCCCUUGCCUUGACAGGAAGCCAGUGUAGGUAGGCUAGCACUGGCGUAAUAUGAUCACAUUUUUUGGUUCUAGUCAGGAUUCUAGCAGCCGUAUUUAGCACUAACUGAAGUUUAUUUAGUGCUUUAUCCGGGUAGCCGGAAAGUAGAGCAUUGCAAUAGUUUACCCUAGAAGUAACAAAAGCAUGGAUUAAUUUUUCUGCAUCAUUAUUGGACAAAGUUUCUGAAUGUUUCAUACUACCAGUUCGCUUGUUAGCACGACCUAUCUAGCUAGCUUCGCCACUGAUUCUCGACAGCUAACAGGCAGCUGCUUCAUUCAAAAUGAAUCCAUUGUGACUUUAAUUAUACUGAACAAAAAUAUAAAUGCAACAAUUUUGAAGAUUUUACUGAGUUGUUAUAAGGAAAUCAGUCAAUUUAAAUGAAUUCGUUAGACCCUAAUCUAUGGAUUUCACUUGUAUCCAGAUAUGCAUCUGUUGGUACUUAAAUGAGAAAGGUAGGGCCGUGAAUCAGUACCAGUCAGUAUCCGGUGUGACCACCAUUUGCCUCAUGCAGCACAACAGAUCUCCUUCGCAUGGAGUUGAUCAGGCUGAAUGUUGUUCCACUCCUCUUCAAUGGCUAUGCGAAGUUGCUGGAUAUCGGCGGGAACUGGAACGCGCUGUCAUACACGUCGAUCCAGAGCAUCCCAAAUGUGCUCAAUGGGUGACAUGUCUGGGUAUGCAGGCCAUAGAAGAACUGGGACGUUUUUAGCUUCCAGGAAUUGUGUACAGAUCAUUGCGUCAUGGGGCCGUGCAUUAUGGUCAAACAUGAGGUGACGUCCGCAGAUGAAUGGCAUGCCCAAUGGGCCUCAGGAUCUCGUCACAGGAUCUCUAUGCAUUCAAAUUGCAAUCAAUAAAAUAAUUGUUUGUCUGUGGGUUGUCUGCCCAUACCGCCACCAUAGGCACUCUGUUCAAUGUUGACACGUGGUCUGCGGUUGAGGCUGGUUGGACAUACUGCCAAUUUCUCUAAAAUGACGGUAGAGAAAUUCUGGCAACAGAUCUGGUGAACAUUCCUGCAGUCAGCAUGCCAAUGGCACGCUCCCUCAACUUGAGACAUCUGUGGCAUUGUGUUGUGACAAAGGCACAUUUUAGUGGCGUUUUAUUGUCCCCAGCACAAGGUGCACCUGUGUAAUGUGCAUGCUGUUUAAUCAGCUUCUUGAUAUGCCACACCUGUCAGGCUGAUGGAUUAUCUUGGAAUAGGAGAAAUGCUCAUAUAUAUGGAUGUGUACAAAUUUGUGCACAACAGAAGCUUUUUGUGUCUCCAUUAGCAGGUAGCCUAGUGGUUAAGCGUAUUGGGCCAAUAACCAAAAGGUUGCUGGUUCGAAUUACCGAACCAGCAAGAUGGAAAAAUCUGCCCUUGAGCAAGGCAGUUAACCCUCAACAACCCACGGUGUCAUGGAUGUUGAGUAAGGUGGGCCUCGCACCUUUCUGAUUCACCCUUGGUUGGAUUAAAUGCAGAAGACGCAUUUUGGUUGAAUGUGUUCAGUUGUGCAAAUGACUAGGUAUACCCCUGUGUCUGGUGUGCCUCUCAAUCAUGUCCUACCCUUCUGUUGCUGUCUCGGCUUCUUGUUUGGUGUCUCUCCAUCUACUCUUCUGUUGCGGUCUAUCUUUUCUGUUAUAUCGUGCAUCCCUCAAAAGAUACAUCGGUGAAAAAUAUCGGAAUCGGACGACAUUAGCUAGAAAUGCCAACCUCUGCACCAGCCCGAUGUCUAGUGUAACGACGAUGUGCCAAACCGAUGUCUAAGCGACCGUGCAUACCUAAUAUAACAUAGGUACAUGAUGUAAUGACGCCACGUAAAAUUUUGCGCUACACGUGCAACAUAGCAUUCCAAAUCUAGCCUACCAUUUCUGCUAUGUAGAUCGAGCAGUCAACAAGUUGAGCAGUCAUUUGAAAGAGUAAGAAUUUCAGCAAGACAACUCAAAGGCGAAAUCCAUUAAUGCCAAGAUAAUUGCCCUUGACGAACAACCGUUCUCUGUUGUGGGUGAUGUUGGCUUUCACCGACUGGUUGAGCAUUGGUACACGCUACCAAGUGCGCUAUUUUUCAGAUGUUGCCCUUUCCGUAGUUAGUCAUAGCAUCACUGCUAUUAGCUUCACAACUGACAUUGGGACCAGCAAUAUCAGCCUCGUCAGCAUGCGGAGUCUGACAGCACAGUGGGUAGUCGAUGAAUUCGUACUGAGGAAAGUCGUAUUGCAUGCUCAUGAAUGUGCUGGUUGUCAUACUGCUGCCAAUUCAACGGCAUUUGAGCACAUGUUUGAAACAUGAUCACGCUAUCUAGCUAGCUCGCUAGCUCCAUUCGAACAACUGACCUGAGAUAUAUGCUCAUCAACUUCACCUGCAGCAGACGUGAUGCCCUCUGUCAUGGCAUUGAAACACCUGCUCAACAAAACUGUCCACACAGGCUGUGAACAAGCAAUUCGGUGGCAUUCUCUCUUUACUGUGUUGCCACCAUGCUGGAUGCUAUGUACAAGGACCGCUUCUUCGAUGCAGAUCCUUGCAAUACCACCACCAACUGGACCAAUGUGCCCAAGACAGUUGGUAUGUAGUACAGUAUAUUUGACAAAUUGUUUGACAAUCUUAAAUUAUAAUAGCUGGUUAGGGUGCUCAUACACAGAGUUAUGUGAUCAUCAGCAGUCAGGAACAACUCAUGAUUGGUUGAGUGCUUUACCAUCACCAGUCACUUUAAGAGCACAUCAAGCAUUUGACUAUGUUUGACCAGAGGACAGAGCGUUUUGACAGAGGAAGCUUAUAUAUGUCUGUUUUUAUUUUAGCAAAACUGACACUGAUCGUAAUGCAAGACUGGUGGAUGCUAUUUUAUCAUUUACUGCUUUUUUGUUAUGUCUUCUAAACGUCUAUGGCUAGUUGCAGGUGACAUGCUGGAAUUUAGAAAAUGUUCCGUUAUUAAAAUAAAAGAUGUGUGUGUAUGCCGAUGCUUUCUGUAAAGCCCUAUCUAAACCAUUUACAAUUGUCUGUCCCCACUUUCCAGGCUGCCAGGGGCAAGUACAGGGCUCAGUCAGUUCCACUAUGCCCUGGGGGACUUUAAGGACAUCCAGAACUCUCUGGCAGACAUCAGCAAGGACUGGAGGAAAAGCAUCAACAUCAUUGGAUCCUGAAGGAUGUAAAAUAUGCUGGGAUGCAACAGUCAGCUUUCCUCAGUUAUGGAGAACCUGCAGAAUAUAUGCUCAGCUCGAACAUAAAAUGCCACAUGAUUUGGAACUAUUAUUGUUGGCUUGCAUUGCAUUUGUUGUGGCACUGUCCUGCAGGGCUCUUCAACCCUAUUCCUGGAUACCUACGGACCUGUAGGUUUUCCCUCCAACCAUAAUCUCUCACCGGAUUUCAAAUGAUUUUCUGGUUGAUAAGCUAAAUCAGUUAAAUUAAAACUUGGAUUGGAGCAGGGUUAGCUCUUCUGGAACAGGGUUGGAGAGCCCUGCUGUACAGUAACAAUGUAUUUGUGUAUUAAUAUUCAUCCUCCCUUCCUGCGCAGUACUUCAGAUGGUGGCAGACCUCCUGUACGACCAGUACCGCAUAGACGGCAAGAACACACACAGCAUGAACCUCAUUCUAAGUUACUUUGGCAAGGUGCAGAGCCUGUCGGACGACCUGGCCAAGCAGCUUUGGAUAGCGCGUCUCAAGGGCACCCAGUCGGUUACACGUUCAAGCUUCAGAUCUUUGGUGACAGGGCCUUCUCCAGUAUUGCACCAAAUCUCUGGAACUCCUUCUCUCCAGCCAUCCAUGACUCUGAGUCCAUCACCACCAUCCCACCCACACGCUACUAUCCUCAAACACCCACAAUCUCUUGUACAUCAACUUGCCUCGUGAAACAGGAGAUAGACCUACCAUAAUGGGCUGUUAUGACUGGGACAAGGCUAAUUAUAAUGCACCCAUUUGUAACGUGAUCUCACAACAAUUUAUUACCAAACUUUAAUGUUAAGGUUGUUAACGUUGUGCAGUACAAUUUUUUUUUCCCCACAUUGUUUACCCCGAAUAAUUGUGAAACCGAAUUCCCGAUUGCUGAUUGUGCCGUUACUCACCACAGAUGUUGCAAAACAAUUGGUAUUUGCAUUUUUAGUAAGUGUUGCAGUUGAUAUUGACUUGUUUGAUCCCCAGGACAGAAUGAUGCUCCUGGUCAAUUGAUAGGUCCUAAGGAGAUUCCCCCUUUCAAUAUGUGGUUAACUGUAUGCAGUGUAUAAUCCCAGCCAACUGACACUCCGGCAUGUUGCAUCAGCUUGAAUUGAGGCAAAUGUGUUGAUACUGUUUUUACCCCUAUUUAUGAUUUUUAUUGAUGACUGUCCUUAGUACAACUGUCUUAUCCCAUAAAUCCAAAUAAAAAUGAUAAACACA